GCCCUCUUGAUACCUGGAAAUCUGAGCAGGAGGCUGGAUUAUGGAGUGACGCUCUGCGCAUCUGCAAGGACUAUGUGCCCAGCCAGCUGGAGGCUCUGCAGGAAGAAUAUGAGCGGGAAGCUACUAAGAAGGGGGCCAGGGGUGUGGAGGGAUUUGUGGAACAAGCUCGACACUGGGAGCAGGCUGGAGAGUACAGCCGUGCCGUGGACUGCUACCUCAAAGUGCGAGACUCUGGAAACAGCGGCCUGGCGGAGAAGUGCUGGAUGAAGGUAGCAGGAAUCUAUGGAGUGCCUGCUGGAUGAUAGAGCCAGAACCUCUGAAGGCUAUAAAAGUGGAUAUAAGACAGAGCCCUGACAGCCAAAAGUUAGGGGAAUUAGACCAAUAAAUGGCUCAAUUACUAUC
rnacentral:lncRNA from 10 species